UGGGGAAUUUUGGACAAUGGGCGAAAGCCUGAUCCAGCAAUGCCGCGUGUGUGAAGAAGGCCUUCGGGUUGUAAAGCACUUUUGUCCGGAAAGAAAUCCUUGGCUCUAAUACAGUCGGGGGAUGACGGUACCGGAAGAAUAAGCACCGGCUAACUACGUGCCAGCAGCCGCGGUAAUACGUAGGGUGCAAGCGUUAAUCGGAAUUACUGGGCGUAAAGCGUGCGCAGGCGGUUUGCUAAGACCGAUGUGAAUCCCGGGCUCAACCUGGACUGCAUUGGUGACUGGCAGGCUAGAGUAUGGCAGAGGGGGGUUAGAAUUCCACGUGUAGCAGUGAAAUGCGUAGAGAUGUGGAGGAAUACCGAUGGCGAAGGCAGCCCCCUGGGCCAAUACUGACGCUCAUGCACGAAAGCGUGGGGAGCAAACAGGAUUAGAUACCCUGGUAGUCCACGCCCUAAACGAUGUCAACUAGUUGUUGGGGAUUCAUUUCCUUAGUAACGUAGCUAACGCGUGAAGUUGACCGCCUGGGGAGUACGGUCGCAAGAUUAAAACUCAAA
rnacentral:rRNA from 1 species